AAACAUGAGGAACUACUUGUUCUUUUCUCAUUGCAAGAGCAUAAUUUGGCUGUGUGGCUUCUCUCUAAAUCAAGCUAACAUUAAGGCCAUCACUACAAGGAACGUGCGAUUUGGUGGCAGUUUUUGCGAAACCGUCACAAAAUGAUUUUACAACUUUUGAUGGAUUGCUAAUUUUUAAGACAUGAUGACAAGUAGCAGAGGUAGACCGAGUAGGUCUCGAGAUCGUGGUAAAAGGAGAGUUUCCACCGAAUCUCCUGCGACUAUUCAGUCCUUGUCCUCUACUCCGACUACCCCGUUGAUCAUUGUGACGCCAUAGGUGGGUCUAGCAUACCAACAGUUCAUAGUCCCAAACCUGAAAUACGUGCCUCCUUCUGCUACGCCCCCUGCAUAUCUAGUGACAAAGCUCACAGUAGGUGAUUCCUCUAGUUCCCCCAGCAGGAUGUACCUCCACCACCGCCUGUCAUCCGGAUGAGAAUUUGGCUUGAUGCCAUACAGGCGUUUGCUCCAAACCCCAAUGCUUGCACACAUAAGAUCUCCGAAGUCAUUAAGUCGAUGUACGACCACCUGUGGCUGACCUACACGCAGAUCCCGGCUGAGACCAAAUAUCGAUGGUUUCAUAAGUGUACGUUGAAAUUCAUAUGGGAUGCAGAGUAUAAUAUCAUUAUCAUGAAGAUCUAUGACAAGAGACAGCUAAACGACUUCAGCAGAUAAUGAGCGAUGUUCGUAAGGGAUGCGACCACCGAACGUCGUAGAUUUGUCCAGCCAUCCAGAAGGAACUGAAGGCCUAUUUUAAGAAUGAUGAGGGGUUCAAGCGUCAUGGUCUGAUAAACAUUGCUAAUAGAGUUUUGCCUAGGUUGUCGAAGUAUAUAGGUAGGUUGGUGACCUUCAUGAAGACGAAGAACAGACUGGUAAAAAUUUUGUCAUUAUUUAAUUUUUUAGUAAUUACUUGAAUUAGUUGGUUAAUUUUUUUCAUUUAUUUUAUUUUUUCGGUUUCUAGCUUGGAACUUCUGAUGAAAGAACUUUGUA